GACGAACGCUGGCGGCGUGCUUAACACAUGCAAGUCGAACGGAAAGGCCCUGCUUUUGUGGGGUGCUCGAGUGGCGAACGGGUGAGUAACACGUGAGUAACCUGCCCUUGACUUUGGGAUAACUUCAGGAAACUGGGGCUAAUACCGGAUAGGAGCUCCUGCUGCAUGGUGGGGGAUGGAAAGUUUCGGCGGUUGGGGAUGGACUCGCGGCUUAUCAGCUUGUUGGUGGGGUAGUGGCUUACCAAGGCUUUGACGGGUAGCCGGCCUGAGAGGGUGACCGGCCACAUUGGGACUAAGAUACGGACCAGACUCCUACGGGAGGCAGCAGUGGAGAAUAUUGCACAAUAGGCGGAAGCCUGAUGCAGCAACGCCGCGUGCGGGAUGACGGCCUUCGGGUUGUAAACCGCUUUCGCCGGUGACGAAGCGUGAGUGACGGUAAUGGGUAAGGAAGCACCGGCUAACUACGUG
rnacentral:rRNA from 1 species